UACGUAGGGUGCAGGCGUUAAUCGGAAUUACUGGGCGUAAAGCGUGCGCAGGCGGUUUGCUAAGACAGGUGUGAAAUCCCCCGGGCUUAACCUGGGAACUGCGCUUGUAACUGGCAAGCUGGGAGUGUGGCAGAGGGGGGGUGGAAUUCCGACGUGUAGCAGUGAAAUGCGUAGAGAUGUGGAGGAACACCGAUGGCGAAGGCAGCCCCCUGGGCUAACACUGACGCUCAUGCACGAAAGCGUGGGGAGCAAACAGG
rnacentral:rRNA from 1 species